rnacentral:rRNA from 1 species
UACGUAGGGGCAAGCGUUGUCCGGAAUUAUUGGGCGUAAAGAGCUCGUAGGCGGCUCAGCAAGUCGGCUGUGAAAUUCCGAGGCUCAACCUCGGAACUGCAGUCGAUACUGCUGUGGCUAGAGUCUGGUAGAGGAGAAUGGAAUUCCCGGUGUAGCGGUGAAAUGCGCAGAUAUCGGGAGGAACACCAGUAGCGAAGGCGGUUCUCUGGGCCAGUACUGACGCUGAGGAGCGAAAGCGUGGGUAGCAAACAGGAUUA